CAAGGUAGAUUUAUUAGUAAAGUAUUUCAUUUACACUGGAGUUGAUUCUGUGCAAUUCAGGAUGCCUUGA
rnacentral:tRNA from 1 species